AGUGAACGCUGGCGGUAGGCCUAACACAUGCAAGUCGAACGGCAGCACAGUAAGAGCUUGCUCUUACGGGUGGCGAGUGGCGGACGGGUGAGGAAUACAUCGGAAUCUACUUUUUCGUGGGGGAUAACGUAGGGAAACUUACGCUAAUACCGCAUACGACCUACGGGUGAAAGCAGGGGAUCUUCGGACCUUGCGCGAUUGAAUGAGCCGAUGUCGGAUUAGCUAGUUGGCGGGGUAAAGGCCCACCAAGGCGACGAUCCGUAGCUGGUCUGAGAGGAUGAUCAGCAAAACUGGAACUGAGACACGGUCCAGACUCCUACGGGAGGCAGCAGUGGGGAAUAUUGGACAAUGGGCGGAAGCCUGAUCCAGCCAUACCGCGUGGGUGAAGAAGGCCUUCGGGUUGUAAAGCCCUUUUGUUGGGAAAGAAAAGCAGCAGGUUAAUACCCCGCUGUUCUGACGGUACCCAAAGAAUAAGCACCGGCUAACUUCGU
rnacentral:rRNA from 1 species